GGUGAGCGACAGAUUUAGUUUUUGCUUAUUUUUUUGAUGGAGGUGGUGCUAAGGGGCCCUAUUUUCCCCUCAGCGCUGGACAAUGCUGGAAAAAUAUGCUUUUGAUGGUUUGCUAACUCUUCAUGGUGAAUUUUGUGGUUUUUUUAUUUAUUCUCAAUUGGGGAAUUCAUGUAAUCCUUUGAAACUAUCAUAUAUUGAAUUGAUGCUUUAUUCAUAUGCUUUUAUUCAUUAUUUGUUAGGGUCUUCUGUAACACCCCUAACAGAGUGCCACUUAUAAAUAACCAAAUCCGAAAAUUU
rnacentral:lncRNA from 1 species